rnacentral:rRNA from 1 species
AACGUAGGAGACAAACGUUAUCCGGAGUUACUGGGCGUAAAGGGCGCGUAGGCGGCUUGGCAAGUGGAUGGUGAAAUCCCUCGGCUUAACCGAGGAACUGCCGUCCAAACUGCUUCGCUUGAGACCGGGAGAGGUGAGUGGAAUUCCCAGUGUAGCGGUGAAAUGCGUAGAUAUUGGGAGGAACACCAGUGGCGAAGGCGGCUCACUGGACCGGUACUGACGCUGAUGCGCGAAAGCGUGGGGAGCAAACGGG